UGGUCGAGUGUGUGGGCUUGCC
rnacentral:siRNA from 1 species